rnacentral:rRNA from 1 species
UGAGCAAUCUGCCCCGACCCUGGGAUAACCCCGGGGAAACCGGAGCUAAUACCGGAUACUCUCCUCUGACCACCUGGUCGGAUGAGGAAAGGUCCGCCGGUCGGGGAUGGGCCCGCGGCCUAUCAGCUUGUUGGUGGGGUAACGGCCUACCAAGGCAUCGACGGGUAGCUAGUCUGAGAGGACGACCAGCCACACUGGGACUGAGACACGGCCCAGACUCCUACGGGAGGCA